GGGUCUGCUGCUGGAUGCGCUUGAUUGUGGCACCCUUUGGGCCAACGACCAGUCCCACCACACGGUAGGGCAC